rfam:Gossypium raimondii Chr03_contig_760, whole genome shotgun sequence.
UAUUAAAAAUUUUAUCCAUUUAUAUUGUUACAAACUGGCGUGGUUGACAGAAUAAUUAGACAAUGAGAUAUGGCGUGUCAUGUGUACCUCAUGCUCAUGUAUAGAGACCAAUUUUUAAUAGCAGAAAUGAAUGGAAUUUUCAACA